CCUACGGGUGGCAGCAGUGGGGAAUCUUGCGCAAUGGGCGAAAGCCUGACGCAGCGACGCCGCGUGCGGGAAGAAGGCCUUCGGGUUGUAAACCGCUUUCAGGAGGGACGCGGUACCUCCAGAAGAAGCCCCGGCUAACUACGUGCCAGCAGCCGCGGUAAUACGUAGGGGGCAAGCGUUGUCCGGAUUUAUUGGGCGUAAAGAGCGUGUAGGCGGCCAGACAGGUCCGUUGUGAAAACUCGAGGCUCAACCUCGAGACGUCGACGGAAACCGUCUGGCUAGAGUCCGGAAGAGGAGUGUGGAAUUCCUGGUGUAGCGGUGAAAUGCGCAGAUAUCAGGAAGAACACCUAUGGCGAAGGCAGCACUCUGGGACGUCUGACGCUGAGACGCGAAAGCGUGGGGAGCGAACAGGAUUAGAUACCCUUGUAGUC
rnacentral:rRNA from 1 species